rnacentral:rRNA from 1 species
UACGGAGGAGGCAAGCGUUAUCCGGAAUGAUUGGGCGUAAAGCGUCCGCAGGUGGCUGUGUAAGUCUGCUGUCAAAGAGCAAAGCUCAACUUUGUAAAGGCAGUGGAAACUACACGGCUAGAGUGCGUUCGGGGCAGAGGGAAUUCCCGGUGUAGCGGUGAAAUGCGUAGAGAUCGGGAAGAACAUCGGUGGCGAAAGCGCUCUACUGGACCGCAACUGACACUCAGGGACGAAAGCUAGGGGAGCGAAUGGG